GAUGAACGCUGGCGGCGUGCCUAAUACAUGCAAGUCGAGCGAACGGACGAGAAGCUUGCUUCUCUGAUGUUAGCGGCGGACGGGUGAGUAACACGUGGAUAACCUACCUAUCAGACUGGGAUAACUUCGGGAAACCGGCUCAUAUACCGGAGAAUAUUUUGAACCGCGUGGUUCAAAAGAGAAAGACGGUCUUGCUGGCACUUAUAGAUGGAUCCGCGCUGCAUUAGCUAGUUGGUAAGGUAACGGGUUACCAAGGCAACGAUGCAUAGCCGAGCGGAGGGGCGGAUCGGCGACCCUGGAACUGAGCCACGGUCCAGAGUCCUACGGGAGGCAGCAGUAGGGUACCUUCCGCAAUGGGCGAAAGCCUGACGGAGCAGGGCCGCGUGAGUGAUGAAGGUCUUCGGAUCGGAAAACUGUGUUAUGAGUGAAGAACAGAUGUGUAAGUAGCCGUGCACAUCGUGACGGUACCGAAUCAGAAAGCCCCGGCUAACUACGUG
rnacentral:rRNA from 1 species